rnacentral:rRNA from 1 species
GUAGGAGGCGAGCGUUGUCCGGAUUUACUGGGCGUAAAGCGCGCGCAGGCGGCAGUGCAAGUAAGGUGUGAAAUCUCCCUGCUCAACGGGGAGGGUGCACUUUAGACUGCACAGCUCGAGGUCGGUAGAGGGGGGUGGAAUUGCUGGUGUAGCGGUGAAAUGCGUAGAGAUCAGCAGGAACACCCGUGGCGAAGGCGGCCCCCUGGGCCGUACCUGACGCUGAGGCGCGAAGGCUAGGGGAGCGAACGGGAUUAGAUACCCCGGUAGUCCUAGCAGUAAACGAUGGCCACUAGGUGUGGGGGGUGUUGACCCCUUCCGUGCCGUAGCUAACGCAUUAAGUGGCCCGCCUGGGGAGUACGGUCGCAAGACUAAA